GAUAAGCAAAUGGUCAGGGCGACUGAACUGCGUUAAAAUUGUGAAACGUGUCGCAUUCAGAUCACACCAAGUGAACAAUGCGUACCGAGUUGCUCGUGGUUCUGGCUAUUGGACUUCUGUUCGCGUUGUGCGCGGCCGAGGAACUACCCACUGACGACACCGUCCAUAAACCGAAGAAAAAAGGUGCUGCCAACAACAUAGUGUUUACAGUAAGAACGUCUGAACCAUGUCCGGAUGGUUAUAAGAAAGUCAAGAUACAGAAUAAAAUCCGUUGUAAGGAAGUAAAGAAAUAUUGAAAAUGACUUAUUAAUUUAUUACUUAACUAUUGUGCACCUCUUCGAAAUGUACGUUUAAUUUAAUAUAAUUUUGAUCAUUGC